GGGGCUGUGGCUCAGUGGUAGAACAUCUGCUUGGCAAGCAGAAAGUUCCAGACUUAAUCCCUGGCAUCUCCA
rnacentral:tRNA from 1 species